rnacentral:rRNA from 1 species
GAACGCUGGCGGCGUGCUUAACACAUGCAAGUCGAACGGAAAGGCCCUGCUUUUGUGGGGUGCUCGAGUGGCGAACGGGUGAGUAACACGUGAGUAACCUGCCCUUGACUUUGGGUUAACUUCAGGAAACUGGGGCUAAUACCGGAUAGGAGCUCCUGCUGCAUGGUGGGGGUUGGAAAGUUUCGGCGGUUGGGGAUGGACUCGCGGCUUAUCAGCUUGUUGGUGGGGUAGUGGCUUACCAAGGCUUUGACGGGUAGCCGGCCUGAGAGGGUGACCGGCCACAUUGGGACUGAGAUACGGCCCAGACUCCUACGGGAGGCAGCAGUGGGGAAUAUUGCACAAUGGGCGGAAGCCUGAUGCAGCAACGCCGCGUGCGGGAUGACGGCCUUCGGGUUGUAAACCGCUUUCGCCUGUGACGAAGCGUGAGUGACGGUAAUGGGUAAAGAAGCACCGGCUAACUACGUG